rfam:Gorilla gorilla gorilla genomic chromosome, chr1, whole genome shotgun sequence
GCCAGGUGUGGCAGCGCACACCUGUAGUCCCAGCUACUCGGGAGGCUGAGGCAGGAGAAUUGCUUGAACCCGGGAGACAAAGGCUGCCCUGAGCCGAGAUUGCGCCACUGCACUCCAGCCUGGGCGACAGAGUGAGACUCCGUCUUACAAAAAAAAAAAAAAGUGACAGAGCGAGACAGAGUCUCGCUCUGUCGCCCAGGCUGGAGUGCAGUGGUGCGAUCUCGGCUCACUGUAGCCUCUGCCUCCUGGGUUCAAGCAAUUCUCCUUCCUCAG